GCCGGGCUGGCUCAGUAGGCAGAGCGGGUGGCUCUUGAUCUCAGGGUUGUGGGUUCAAGCCCACGUUGGGUG
rnacentral:tRNA from 1 species